rnacentral:rRNA from 1 species
AUCGAUUUCCUAAGUAGCGGCGAGCGAACGGGAAAGAGCCCAAACCAAAGCCUUUGGCUUUGGGGUUGUGGACAGAACAUAAAAGUGUGAAAUUUUUAGUUGAAGAUAGCUGGAAAGCUACUCCGUAGAAGGUAAUAGGCCUGUAAGCAAAAAGAAUUAAACAUAAGUUCUGAUCCAGAGUACCACGAGACACGUGAAACCUUGUGGGAAGCAGGGAGGACCACCUCCCAAG